rnacentral:rRNA from 1 species
AUCGGGGUUGCGGACAGUGUCUGGUGGGUAGUUUGACUGGGGCGGUCUCCUCCCAAAGCGUAACGGAGGAGCACGAAGGUUAGCUAAUCCUGGUCGGACAUCAGGAGGUUAGUGCAAUGGCAUAAGCUAGCUUGACUGCGAGCGUGACGGCGCGAGCAGGUGCGAAAGCAGGUCAUAGUGAUCCGGUGGUUCUGAAUGGAAGGGCCAUCGCUCAACGGAUAAAAGGUACUCCGGGGAUAACAGGCUGAUACCGCCCAAGAGUUCAUAUCGACGGCGGUGUUUGGCACCUCGAUGUCGGCUCAUCACAUCCUGGGGCUGAAGUAGGUCCCAAGGGUAUGGCUGUUCGCCAUUUAAAGUGGUACGCGAGCUGGGUUUAGAACGUCGUGAGACAGUUCGGUCCCUAUCUGCCGUGGGCGCUGGAGAAUUGAGGGGGGCUGCUCCUAGUACGAGAGGACCGGAGUGGACGCAUCACUGGUGUUCGGGUUGUCAUGCCAAUGGCACUGCCCGGUAGCUAAAUGCGGAAGAGAUAAGUGCUGAAAGCAUCUAAGCACGAAACUUGCCCCG